AUAUAUUUUAUUAAAAAAAAAAAUCUGUUCUUAUCAGUUUAAUAUCUGAUACGUCCCCCAUCGGGGGACUACAUAUUAAAUGGAUUUUUC
rnacentral:snRNA from 8 species